GAUCAUGGCUCAGGAUGAACGCUGGCGGCGUGCUUAACACAUGCAAGUCGAGCGAAGCGCUUUGGAAAGAUUCUUCGGAUGAUUUCCUUUGUGACUGAGCGGGCGGACGGGUGAGUAACGCGUGGGUAACCUGCCUCAUACAGGGGGGAUAACAGUUAGAAAUGACUGCUAAUACCGCAUAAGACCACGGUACCGCAUGGUACAGUGGUAAAAACUCCGGUGGUAUAAGAUGGACCCGCGU
rnacentral:rRNA from 1 species